rnacentral:rRNA from 1 species
AGAGUUUGAUCCUGGCUCAGGAUGAACGCUGGCGGCGUGCCUAAUACAUGCAAGUCGAGCGAACGGACGAGAAGCUUGCUUCUCUGAUGUUAGCGGCGGACGGGUGAGUAACACGUGGAUAACCUACCUAUAAGACUGGGAUAACUUCGGGAAACCGGAGCUAAUACCGGAUAAUAUUUUGAACCGCAUGGUUCAAAAGUGAAAGACGGUCUUGCUGUCACUUAUAGAUGGAUCCGCGCUGCAUUAGCUAGUUGGUAAGGUAACGGCUUACCAAGGCAACGAUGCAUAGCCGACCUGAGAGGGUGAUCGGCCACACUGGAACUGAGACACGGUCCAGACUCCUACGGGAGGCAGCAGUAGGGAAUCUUCCGCAAUGGGCGAAAGCCUGACGGAGCAACGCCGCGUGAGUGAUGAAGGUCUUCGGAUCGUAAAACUCUGUUAUUAGGGAAGAACAUAUGUGUAAGUAACUGUGCACAUCUUGACGGUACCUAAUCAGAAAGCCACGGCUAACUACGUGCCAGCAGCCGCGGUAAUACGUAGGUGGCAAGCGUUAUCCGGAAUUAUUGGGCGUAAAGCGCGCGUAGGCGGUUUUUUAAGUCUGAUGUGAAAGCCCACGGCUCAACCGUGGAGGGUCAUUGGAAACUGGAAAACUUGAGUGCAGAAGAGGAAAGUGGAAUUCCAUGUGUAGCGGUGAAAUGCGCAGAGAUAUGGAGGAACACCAGUGGCGAAGGCGACUUUCUGGUCUGUAACUGACGCUGAUGUGCGAAAGCGUGGGGAUCAAACAGGAUUAGAUACCCUGGUAGUCCACGCCGUAAACGAUGAGUGCUAAGUGUUAGGGGGUUUCCGCCCCUUAGUGCUGCAGCUAACGCAUUAAGCACUCCGCCUGGGGAGUACGACCGCAAGAUUGAAACUCAAAGGAAUUGACGGGGACCCGCACAAGCGGUGGAGCAUGUGGUUUAAUUCGAAGCAACGCGAAGAACCUUACCAAAUCUUGACAUCCUUUGACAACUCUAGAGAUAGAGCCUUCCCCUUCGGGGGACAAAGUGACAGGUGGUGCAUGGUUGUCGUCAGCUCGUGUCGUGAGAUGUUGGGUUAAGUCCCGCAACGAGCGCAACCCUUAAGCUUAGUUGCCAUCAUUAAGUUGGGCACUCUAAGUUGACUGCCGGUGACAAACCGGAGGAAGGUGGGGAUGACGUCAAAUCAUCAUGCCCCUUAUGAUUUGGGCUACACACGUGCUACAAUGGACAAUACAAAGGGCAGCGAAACCGCGAGGUCAAGCAAAUCCCAUAAAGUUGUUCUCAGUUCGGAUUGUAGUCUGCAACUCGACUACAUGAAGCUGGAAUCGCUAGUAAUCGUAGAUCAGCAUGCUACGGUGAAUACGUUCCCGGGUCUUGUACACACCGCCCGUCACACCACGAGAGUUUGUAACACCCGAAGCCGGUGGAGUAACCUUUUAGGAGCUAGCCGUCGAAGGUGGGACAAAUGAUUGGGGUGAAGUCGUAACAAGGUAGCCGUAUCGGAAGGUGCGGCUGGAUCACCU